UUUUAACAGUUCAAGAUGAGAAACUCACCACCACUGAGCAUGAAGUUACGACAGACAAUUUCCCAGACGCUUCUUCUCCAAUAGACAAGCUUGUGGAUGAAGACAGAAAGGAAGUUCUGGCAAUCUUGGUGCCGAUUAUAUUGAUUUUGAUGAUCCUGGGAAUCAUUUCUGUUUAUCUAUUAUACAAGCGUAAAAUUAAAUUCAGGACAUCUGCAGAAGU